CUCGUGGUAGGUUAUAUUCUCUAUCCGGACCGGAGACCAAGGCCAUGGAGGAGUACAUAGAGGAGUCUCUGGCUACUGGGGCUGUCUGUCCGUCUGCUUCUCCUGCCAGCGCAGGGUUUUUCUUUGUGGAGAAGAAGGACAAGACCCUGCGUCCGUGCAUUGAAUACCAGGGUCUUAAUGAUUACGAUUACGAUUAAGAAUAGUUAACCCCCACCACUCCUAUCCUCAGCUUUUGAACCUUUCCAGGGGGCCACCAUUUUUUCCAAGCUGGACCUUCGGAAUGCCUACCACCUGGUUCAGAUACACAAAGGAGACAGCGUUCAACACAGCCAGCGGACAUUAUGAGUACCAGGUCAUGCCAUUUGGACUCACCACCUGUCAUCCAGGCCCUGGUAAACAUGUGCUCCGGGACAUGCUAAACAAGUUUGUGUUCGUACACCUUGACGACUUCCUGUUUUUUUCCCAGGCCGCCCAAAAACAUGUUCUGCAUGUCAGAUAGGUCCUUCAACGCCUCUGAGAACCAAUUGUCCGUAAAAGCCGACAAGUGUGAGUUCUAACUCUCUACCAUCUCCUUUCUGGGAUAUGUCAUUGCUGAGGAAAAUGUCCAGAUGGAUCCUGGAAAGGUCAAAGCAGUGGUGGGUUGGCCUCAACCCACGUCCAGGGUGCAGUUGCAAUGUUUCCAAGGUUUUGCUAACUUCUACCUCCAUUUCAUUCGGGGUUCCAGCACCCUGGCGGCCCCCCUCUCUGCACUCACCUCUCCCAAAGUACCAUUUAGAUGGUCUCCAGCUGUCAACAAAGCCUUUGUGGAUCUGAAGCAUUGGUUCACAACAGAACCCAUCCUCAUCCAUCCGGACACAUCCCGUCAAUUUGUGGUUGAGGUUGAUGCGUCUGAUGUUGGAGUGGGGGCCAUCCUGUCCCAGCGAUCUGCCCAGGACCAAAAGCUUUAUCCCUGUGUCUUCCUGUCCCAUCAACGAAAACUCUGCAGAAAGAAACUACGACGUGGGUAACCGAGAACUCAUGGCAGUCAAGAUGGCACUGGAGGAGUGGUGACACUGGCUUAAGGGAUCUGAACAUCCAUUUUUGGUAUGGACCGACCACAAGAAUCUGGAAUAUCUCUGCACAGCCAAGCGCCUUAAUUCCAGGCAGGCCCAGUGGGGGUCCAAAAACGUGAAUCCGGAUGCACUCUCCCAUCUAUACAGUUCCUCUAACACUCCCUCUGAAUCUGAGACCAUCCUCCCUGUCUCUUGUUUGAUGGCUUCUGUUUGGGGAGGGCAGCGGCGGCUAACCGUCUGUUUGUGCCUGAUGCGAUCCGGUCUAAGAUCCUGGAAUGGGCUCACUCCUCCAGGCUUACCUGUCAUGCUGGUACUCGUCGGACCGGAAGAAGCUUUCCUCUGUCAACGCUUCUGGUGGCCUACCAUGGUUUCUCAAAUCAAGACUCCGCCGCAAGCUCUGUCGGGCCUCCUACAGCCACUUCCUGUCCCUCAUUGCCCCUGGUCCCAUAUUUCUCUGGAUUUCGUCACUGGGCUUCCUCCGUCAGAUGGCAACACCACCACUCUGACGGUGGCGGACAGAUUCUCCAAGGCCGCCCAUUUCGUCACUCUUCCUAAGUUACCUUCAGCCAAGGAGACGGCCCAGCUUAUGGUGCAGAAUGUCUUACGUAUCCAUGGACUCCCGGUUGACGUUGUCUCGGACCGUGGUCCUCAGUUCUCGUCCCAAUUCUGGAAGGCGUCCUGCACUCUUACUGGGUCGUCAGCCAGCUUGUCCUCUGGGUUUCAUCCCCAAUCUAACAGCCAGUUGGAGCAAGCCAAUCAAGAUAUGGAGACAGCACUCCGGUGUCUGGUUGCCAGUAACCCCACCACCUGGAGCAAUUGGUCUGGGUGGAAUAUGCCGGAAACACUCUCCCUUGCUCAGCUACUGGACUAUCCCCUUUUGAAUGCAACAUGGGGCAUCAGCCCCCGCUCUUCCCAGAGCAAGAAGUUGAGGUCAAAGUACCUUCAGCCCAGAUGUUCGUCCGCCGCUGUCGGCGUACCUGGAAAAGAGCUAGGGCGGCUCUUCUCAAGACCACCUCCAGGUAUCGUCGACAAGCGGACCAGCACCGGACUCUGGCUCCUCGCUAUCGUGUCGGGCAGAGGGUAUGGCUGUUCACUCGGGACCUACCCCUCCGGGUAGAAUCCCGAAAACCUUCCCCCUGUUUCAUUGGUCCAUUCCCCAUUUCUAGAGUCAUUAGUCCCACUGCUGUCCGUCUGCUGUUGCCCCGUACCCUCCAUGUUCACCCUACUUUCCUGUUUCCAGGAUUAAACCCUUGUCUCACUGUCCUCUAUCUUCUGCUUCUAGGCCCAUCCCUCCCCCCCGUGUCAUCGAUGGCCAGCCAGCGUAUAUGGUGAGACGCCUCCUGAGGGUUCAACCACGGGGCAGGGGUUUCCAGAAUCUGGUUGACUGGGAGGGUUAUGGCCCGGAGGAGAGGUGCUGGGUUCUGGCUAAAGACAUCCUGAACUCUGCCCUCAUCACCGAUUUUCACCGCUGACACCCCGGUCAGCCAGGUAGCCAGAACCUGAACUGUACUUUGGAACCACAUGGCGGAUGCACCACAGUUUGGCUGGCCACAGGCCGCUGUGUCCCCACUUAACAUGCAGCCUUGACCCUAACGACUUACCCAGAGCCGGCAGACAUAUUAUGAUGCCUGAGGCGGGGACGAGGGUUGGAAGCAGGCUCCAGCUCCCCGGGAUGGGUCUGGUGAUCGGCUAGACAGGAUAGAGUAUUUUAAAUAUAUAACCAUCACCCAUUCCUU
rnacentral:lncRNA from 1 species